rnacentral:lncRNA from 1 species
AGCUUUAUUCUAGUGUCAUGUGGAGUGAGGGCCCAGAGCUCUUGACACUGUCUUCCUGGGCCAACGGCCAAAUUGCUUCAUGGACUCGGGGCGAGUUGAUUAACUUCUGUUUUUUUCUUCUCAUGGAGAAAUGGAUUUGUACGUUGGCAUUCCACAAAGACUCUUGAGUGGCCUGGCAACUGUGCCAACGUGUAAAAGCCGUUACUUAGGAGAGCCUGUGGCCGGUGUAGAACCAUUCAUUCACUUCAUGUCUUACGGAUUUUUAAAAAAAAUUUUUUUUUUUUGUAAUUGUGCCUAUGUGCAUGAAUCUGCCUGCAGAGGCCAGAGGCCUGGGGUCCCCUGGAGCUGCAGUUACAGGCAGUGGGGGACCCUCCUCCCGGGUGCUGGGAAUGGAACUCCAGUUGUCCGGAAGGAGCAGUAAGUGCCCUUCACUGCUGGGCCACCUCUCCAACCCUGUUGUAGAUGUGUUAAAAAUUAAAAAAAAAAAAAAAA